AUUGAACGCUGGCGGCAUGCCUUACACAUGCAAGUCGAACGGUAACAGGUCUUCGGAUGCUGACGAGUGGCGAACGGGUGAGUAAUGCAUCGGAACGUGCCCAGUAGUGGGGGAUAGCCCGGCGAAAGCCGGAUUAAUACCGCAUACGACCUGAGGGGGAAAGGGGGGGAUCGCAAGACCUCUCGCUAUUGGAUCGGCCGAUGUCAGAUUAGCUAGUUGGUGGGGUAAAGGCCUACCAAGGCAACGAUCUGUAGUUGGUCUGAGAGGACGACCAGCCACACUGGGACUGAGACACGGCCCAGACUCCUACGGGAGGCAGCAGUGGGGAAUUUUGGACAAUGGGCGCAAGCCUGAUCCAGCAAUGCCGCGUGCAGGAAGAAGGCCUUCGGGUUGUAAACUGCUUUUGUCAGGGAAGAAAUCUUCUGGGUUAAUACCUCGGGAGGAUGACGGUACCUGAAGAAUAAGCACCGGCUAACUACGUGCCAGCAGCCGCAGUAACAC
rnacentral:rRNA from 1 species